rnacentral:rRNA from 1 species
GUGGAUUAGAUACCCUGGUAGUCCACGCCCUAAACGAUGUCAACUAGGUGUUGGGGAAGGUGACUUCCUUAGUACCGCAGCUAACGCGUGAAGUUGACCGCCUGGGGAGUACGGCCGCAAGGUUAAAACUCAAAGGAAUUGACGGGGACCCGCACAAGCGGUGGAUGAUGUGGAUUAAUUCGAUGCAACGCGAAAAACCUUACCUACCCUUGACAUGCCUGGAACCCUGGUGAGAGCUGGGGGUGCCCGAAAGGGAGCCGGGACACAGGUGCUGCAUGGCCGUCGCCAGCU